AACCAUAUGUGCCCAGCCAGCACUAUUCUUGCCAAAGGGUUUGCCGUAUGUGUAUUCUGGCAACGUGCCAGUGAUGUGGUGGGUGUAUCCUUUUAGUUUUGGUAGCGUUGCCAGAAUACUUGUAUAAGACAAAUCAUGCUUACAAUCAUACAAGUCAGUGAUUGAGAGCACUUCGAAUUGACAGCGGUGGGUUUUGAACUGUACCUCUAGAUAUAAGGUCGUGGUUUAAGAAUAAAU
rnacentral:lncRNA from 1 species